GGCUCAGAAUGAACGCUGGCGGCGUGCUUAACACAUGCGGGUCGCACGAGAACGCUUCAGCUUGCUGAAGCAAGUAAAGUGGCGCACGGGUGAGUAACGCGUGGGUAAUCUACCCUUGAAUUGGGGAUAACCCGCCGAAAGGCGGGCUAAUACCGAAUGACAUCUUGAAAACUUAUGCUUUCAGGAUCAAAGGUGGCCUCUACAUGUAAGCUAUUGUUUGGGGAUGAGCCCGCGUACCAUUAGCUUGUUGGUAGGGUAAUGGCCUACCAAGGCUACGAUGGUUAGCUGGUCUGAGAGGAUGAUCAACCACACUGGAACUGACACACGGUCCAGACUCCUACGGGAGGCAGCAGUGAGGAAUUUUGCGCAAUGGGGGAAACCCUGACGCAGCAACGCCGCGUGAGUGAUGAAGGCUUUCGGGUCGUAAAGCUCUGUCAAGUGGGAAGAAACCAUAUAGUAUUAAUACUGCUAUAUGUUGACGGUACCACUGAAGGAAGCACCGGCUAACUCCGUGCCAGCAGCCGCGGUAAUACGGGGGGUGCGAGCGUUAUUCGGAAUUACUGGGCGUAAAGAGCGCGUAGGCGGUCUUUUAAGUCAGGUGUGAAAGCCCGGGGCUCAACCCCGGAAGUGCACUUGAAACUAAGAGACUUGAGUAUGGGAGAGGGAAGUGGAAUUCCUGGUGUAGCGGUGAGAUG
rnacentral:rRNA from 1 species